rnacentral:rRNA from 1 species
GAUGAACGCUGGCGGCGUGCUUAACACAUGCAAGUCGAACGAUGAACCUCACUUGUGGGGGGAUUAGUGGCGAACGGGUGAGUAACACGUGAGUAACCUGCCCUUGACUCUGGGAUAAGCCUGGGAAACCGGGUCUAAUACUGGAUACGACCUUCUGGCGCAUGCCAUGUUGGUGGAAAGCUUUUGUGGUUUUAGAUGGACUCGCGGCCUAUCAGCUUGUUGGUGGGGUAAUGGCCUACCAAGGCGACGACGGGUAGCGGGCCUGAGAGGGUGACCGGCCACACGGGGACUGAGACACGGGCCAGACUCCUACGGGAGGCAGCAGUGGGGAAUAUUGCAGAAUGGGCGAAAGCCUGAUGCAGCGACGCCGCGUGAGGGAUGAAGGCCUUCGGGUUGUAAACCUCUUUCAGUAGGGACGAAGCCGGCUUUUGGGUUGGUGACGGUACCUGCAGAAGAAGCGCCGGCUAACUACGUG